CGAUGUGAUAAUGAAUUCUCUGGAGUGCUAUUAAACAAGAAAUCUAGAUGAUAUUAUUAUUGACAAUUGAUUAUAAUAAUAUAUUAUCAUUAGCAUUAUAUAUUAUCUAACAUAUUAUCAUUGAGUAUUGUUUAGUUGGAGAAAAAGUGACCAUGGCGACUUAUCAACACAUUAAUAUUAAGCAUUUGUUAUGUUCAAGAGACCAUGGAGGACCUCAUAUAGGUGCAAUAAACCUAUCCAACUAGGCUCCAGGGGACCAUGGAGGACCCCUUAAACUUGCAGUACAUCUAUCUACAUAUAAAUAUGUGUCCAUGGAGGACACAUAUCCACAUAUAUGAUGCAUUUGUUGUGUUCAAGAGGCCAAGGUUCAAGAAUAUGUUACAUUUGAUAUGUUUCCAAGUAACCAUGGAGGACAUUUGCAUAGAUUCUGCUUAAUAUUAUUACAGACAAGUCCAAACUAGGAGAAGUUAUUAGGGAUUAUAAUAAAAUAAAACGACGCAACGAGCUGGAAACCAAAA